rnacentral:sRNA from 1 species
CAGAGCUCAAGUCUGAACUCUACCUCCAGACAGAAUGAAGUUCAUCUCGACAUCUCUGCUUCUCAUGCUGCUGAUCAGCAGCCUCUCUCCAGUCCAAGGUGUUCUGGAGGUCUAUUACACAAGCUUGAGGUGUAGAUGUGUCCAAGAGAGCUCAGUCUUUAUCCCUAGACGCUUCAUUGAUCGAAUUCAAAUCUUGCCCCGUGGGAAUGGUUGUCCAAGAAAAGAAAUCAUAGUCUGGAAGAAGAACAAGUCAAUUGUGUGUGUGGACCCUCAAGCUGAAUGGAUACAAAGAAUGAUGGAAGUAUUGAGAAAGUAAGUUAGGCAUAACAAGGGGUUUCAGAUUCCAACUUGUACUGAAGAGUUUCCCUUUCCUGGGCAGUCAAAAUAGGGACUAGUUUGAAUUUAUGAGACGUUCCUAAGACAAAUGUGUGUUUUUCACCGUUAUUGCUUAUCAGAUGGAGUAGGGGUAGCUCAUUCCAGCAGCUCAGUAAACCAAACUAGAAGCCAGUAUACAUAAGAGUCCUUGCCCGGUAUCUCCAG